CCUACGGGAGGCUGCAGUGGGGGAUAUUGCACAAUGGGGGGAACCCUGAUGCAGCGACGCCGCGUGGGGGAAGGAGUGCUUCGGCAUGUAAAGCCCUAUCGGCAGGGAAGAAGCAAGACGUUACCUGACUAAAAAGCCCCGCCUAACUACGUGCCAGCAGCCGCGGUAAUACGUAGGGGGCGAGUGUUAUCCGGAUUCACUGGGUGUAAAGGGAGCGUAGACGGCCAUGCAAGCCAGGUGUGAAAGCCCAGGGCCCAACCCCGGGACGGCCCUUGGAACUGUGCGGCUAGAGUGGGGGAGGGGCAGGGGGAAUUCCUGGUGUAGCGGUGAAAUGCGUAGAGAUCAAGAGGAA
rnacentral:rRNA from 1 species